CGAAUGGGGAAACCCACUCAGGAAAACCUGAGUAUCGCACACUGAAUCCAUAGGUGUGCGAGGCGAACCCGGGGAACUGAAACAUCUAAGUACCCGGAGGAAAAGAAAUCAACCGAGAUUCCCUUAGUAGCGGCGAGCGAACGGGGGAUUAGCCCUUAAGUUGGCAUUGUUCUAGUGGAACCCUCUGGAAAGUGGGGCCAUAGCGGGUGACAGCCCCGUACACGAAAGGGCAUUGCCGAUGAAAACGAGUAGGUCGGGACACGUGGUAUCCUGAUUGAAGAUGGGGGGACCAUCCUCCAAGGCUAAAUACUCCCAGCUGACCGAUAGUGAACCAGUACCGUGAGGGAAAGGCGAAAAGAACCCCGGAGAGGGGAGUGAAAUAGACCUGAACCCUGUGCGUACAAGCAGUGGGAGCCUGUCUGCGGACGGGUGACUGCGUACCUUUUGUAUAAUGGGUCAGCGAGUUAUUCUCAGUGGCGAGGUUAACCGUAUAGGGGAGCCGUAGGGAACC
rnacentral:rRNA from 1 species